rnacentral:rRNA from 1 species
GACGUAGGGCGCGAGCGUUGUCCGGAUUUAUUGGGCGUAAAGAGCUCGUAGGCGGUUUGUCGCGUCUGCUGUGAAAACUCGGGGCUUAACUCCGGGCCUGCAGUGGGUACGGGCAGACUAGAGUGCGGUAGGGGAGACUGGAAUUCCUGGUAUAGCGGUGAAAUGCGCAGAUAUCAGGAGGAACACCGGUGGCGAAGGCGGGUCUCUGGGCCGUAACUGACGCUGAGGAGCGAAAGCGUGGGGAGCGAACAGG